rnacentral:rRNA from 1 species
ACCUACGGGAGGCAGCAGUGGGGAAUAUUGCGCAAUGGACGAAAGUCUGACGCAGCGACGCCGCGUGAGUGAAGAAGGGUUUCGGCUCGUAAAGCUCUGUUGGUAGUGAAGAAAGAUAGAGGGAGUAACUGGCCUUUAUUUGACGGUAAUUACUUAGAAAGUCACGGCUAACUACGUGCCAGCAGCCGCGGUAAUACGUAGGUGGCAAGCGUUGUCCGGAUUUAUUGGGCGUAAAGCGAGUGCAGGCGGGUCAAUAAGUUUGA